rnacentral:rRNA from 1 species
AACGAACGCUGGCGGCAGGUCUUAGGCAUGCAAGUCGAACGGGUGUAGUAAUACACCAGUGGCGAACGAGUGAGUAACGCGUGGGAAUCAGCCCAUCUCUGGGGAAUAACGAUUGGAAACGAACGCUAAUACCGCAUACGCACGCAAGGGGAAAGAUUUAUCGGGGAUGGAUGAGGCCGCGUUGGAUUAGUUAGGUGGUGGGGUAACGGCCUACCAAGGCGAUGAUCCAUAGCUGGUAUGAGAGGAAGAUCAGCCACGCUGGAACUGAGGUACGGUCCAGACUCAUAUGAGAGGCAGCAGCUAAGAAUAUUGGGCAAUGGAGGAAACUCUGACCCAGCCAUGCCGCGUGAAUGAAGAAGGCCUUCGGGUUGUAAAGUUCUUUUAGUCGUGACGAUGAUGACGGUAGCGACAGAAAAAGCACCGGCUAACUUCGUGCCAGCCGCCGCGGUAA